GCACACGCACACUUGCUCCUUUGAUCAGAGCAGAUGGCAGCGUUUGAGCAGGAAACAGGGAGCUCACAACCACAGAGACUCGUGCUCAUGCACAGUAUCCUGAGGGGUCAGACAUGCCUGUCUGACUGAAACCACAGGUCUGCUGGCUGUCAAAUCCUAAUCAGUAGGAAAUGUCUUCACAUGUUUCCGAGGGAACGGCACACUGUGAGGAGCGCUGUCGGUGUAAUUGUAAGAGGGAGCUUCCAGAGUACUGUUUGUCUGGUACGACUCUGGAUGUAGAAGAAAUCUGUGCGCGUAGCCGCAAGCCCAAAAGAAGUACUUGGCUGAAGUAGAUCUGACAGUGUGUGCUGGUGUUUGGCUGGUGUCAAGACGUCGAUGCAGAAGAAGAUGGACGGGAAAACCCCGGACAUCUUUGUCUUCUACCUCAGGCUGUGUUUGAUACCAUGCUUUUCCCGAGGGAACCUCAACAUGCUGCGACCCAGAUUAUGACCCAGCUGUCUGUGUUACUCUGGAAGAUGAUGAAUGUGGGUGGGAGACAGACAGGAACUCCAAUCCCCCUGAAGACCUUCUUAUAACAACAUCCGACCUCUCUGGAUAAGCGCUAUUCAAGACUUCUGAGGAAAACCUGAAACACAGGAGUCUCUGGCUGUAUAAAAUAAAAACAUCAACUGAC